rnacentral:misc_RNA from 1 species
AACGCACCUUGCACCCUUUGGUAUUCCGAAGGGUACACCCGUUUGAGCGUCAUUGUAAUCUCACUUCUACGACUUUAUGUUGUGGAAUGUGGACUUGGACGUCUGCCGUGUCCCAACGGCUCGUCUUAAAUGCCUGAGUGUACCCCGCUUUGCGGCGUAUUCGGUGUGAUAAACAUUUCACCGGAGUUUGGUCUAUGACCGCGCUUUUGCAAUUGGUGGGCUCUAUGCUUUCAAACCGUCUCUUGUGAGACAAUCUUUUGACAAUUUGACCUCAAAUCGGGUGGGACUACCCGCUGAACUUAA